GACGAACGCUGGCGGCGUGCUUAACACAUGCAAGUCGAACGAAGAGCGACGGAAGCUUGCUUCUAUCAAUCUUAGUGGCGAACGGGUGAGUAACGCGUAAUCAACCUGCCCUUCAGAGGGGGACAACAGUUGGAAACGACUGCUAAUACCGCAUACGAUCUAAUCUCGGCAUCGAGGAUGGAUGAAAGGUGGCCUCUACAUGUAAGCUAUCACUGAAGGAGGGGAUUGCGUCUGAUUAGCUAGUUGGAGGGGUAACGGCCCACCAAGGCGAUGAUCAGUAGCCGGUCUGAGAGGAUGAACGGCCACAUUGGGACUGAGACACGGCCCAGACUCCUACGGGAGGCAGCAGUGGGGAAUCUUCCGCAAUGGACGAAAGUCUGACGGAGCAACGCCGCGGGAGUGAGGACGGCCUUCGGGUUGUAAAGCUCUGUUAAUCGGGACGAAAGGCCUUCUUGCGAAUAGGGAGAAGGAUUGACGGUACCGGAAGAGAAAGCCACGGCUAACUACGUG
rnacentral:rRNA from 1 species